AUACGGAGGAUCCAAGCGUUAUCCGGAUUUAUGGUUUAAAGGAGCGUAGAUGGAUGCUUAAGUCAGUUGUGAAAGUUCGGGGCUCAACCCCGUAAUUGCAGUUGAUACUGGAUAUCUUGAGUACAGUUGAGGUAGGCGGAAUUCGUGGUGUAGCGGUGAAAUGCUUAGAUAUCACGAAGAACUCCGAUUGCGAAGGCAGCUUACUAAGCUGUAACUGACAUUGAGGCUCGAAAGUGUGGGUAUC
rnacentral:rRNA from 1 species